AACGAACGCUGGCGGCGUGCUUAACACAUGCAAGUCGAGCGCGAAAGUUUCUCUUCGGAGAAGCGAGUAGAGCGGCAGACGGGUGAGUAACACGUGGAUAACCUACCCCAGAGCGGGGGAUAACCACCCGAAAGGGUGGCUAAUACCGCAUAAGACCACGGUUUUGCGAAACAGUGGUAAAAGGCUUCGGCCACUUUGGGAGGGGUCCGCGGUCGAUUAGCUAGUUGGUGAGGUAACGGCUCACCAAGGCGACGAUCGAUAGCUGGUCUGAGAGGAUGAUCAGCCACACUGGUACUGAGACACGGACCAGACUCCUACGGGAGGCAGCAGUGGGGAAUAUUGCGCAAUGGACGAAAGUCUGACGCAGCAACGCCGCGUGGGUGAAGAAGGUUUUCGGAUCGUAAAGCCCUGUCAGAUGGGAAGAAACCUGCUAGUCAGCUGACGGUACCAUCAAAGGAAGCACCGGCUAACUCCGUG
rnacentral:rRNA from 1 species